ACGAAGUGUGCUCUUGAGUGCACUUAGUGGCGGAAGGGUUAGUAAUACAUGGGUAAUCUACCUUUAACUCUGGGAUAACGGUUGGAAACGACCGCUAAUACCGGAUAUGGUGCUAGAGAGGAUCUUUUUAGCAUUAAAGUGGGGGAUUGGGCGACCGACCUUACGGUUAAAGAGGGGCCCAUGGGAUAUCAGCUAGUUGGUGAGGUAAAGGCUCACCAAGG
rnacentral:rRNA from 1 species